CCUACGGGUGGCAGCAGUGAGGAAUAUUGGUCAAUGGGCGCGAGCCUGAACCAGCCAAGUCGCGUGAGGGAAGACGGUCCUAUGGAUUGUAAACCUCUUUUGUCGGGGCGCAAAAGACGCCACGCGUGGCGUUCCGCGCGUACCCGAAGAAAAAGCAUCGGCGAACUCCGUGCCAGCAGCCGCGGUAAUACGGAGGAUGCGAGCGUUAUCCGGAGUUAGUGGGUUUAAAGGGUGAGCAGGCGGAAGAUCAAGUCAGCGGUAAAAUUGAGAGGCUCAACCUCUUCGAGCCGUUGAAACUGGUUUGCUUGAGUGAGUGAGAAGUAUGCGGAAUGCGUGGGGUAGCGGUGAAAUGCAUAGAUAUCACGCAGAACUCCGAUUGCGAAGGCAGCAUACCGGCGCUCAACUGACGCUCAUGCACGAAAGUGUGGGUAGCGAACAGGAUUAGAUACCCCUGUAGUC
rnacentral:rRNA from 1 species